UUUUCUAGCAUUCCAUAUACAAGGAGAUGAAAUCACCUUUCAUUUCUCAAAAAAAAUUUCCCCAAAGACAGCUUGGUUUCCAUAACUUGUGUAAUAAUUAUUCUCCUGUUUCAAUUUCACACCAUCACAGAAACUGAGCCACGUUUCCCAGUGACCGCUAAUUAUUUGAUCAAGAUGUUCAUGAAGGGUCACUUUCUCGGGCUACCCCUCAUCCCCCACCUUCCUCUCUGUCUCUUGUUUUGUCUGGUUUCUAAAUUCGGAUCGAGUAUGCACAGUAUUUAUUUAUGAGCAUCUGUGAUCUCAGUGAGUUCCUCAGAUCACUGCCUUCCACCCCACAGCUGCCACUGGAAAGACACUUUUAACUCAGCCUGCAAUGCGGCAAGGAGAGUCUCAGCAAGAGGGGAGAAGUUGUGCUCCAGCCGCACGAGGCCAGCACCUCCUUCAGCAGCUUUCUUAAGACACUACAAGUCUCUGCACCUCUGCACCGUCCCUCUCUGAGGCUAUGGACACAGCAGAGACUCUGGCCUCCCAUCCGACACGAGAUGCACAUCAGCUGGGCUCCCGACUCUUGCGCUGGAACAGGAGUUGGCCUUUUUAAGUGACAUCCAGGAGCACACUCAGGGCAGCUCGCCUGGUCACAGAGAGCCAGCUCCCAGGGUGCUGUCCUGCAGGGCACGGCCCGCGCUCGAAGACUGGGAGAUCCAGCUCCUGCUGAGAUGCAGCGUCCGAACGGUGAGGCCAGCUCAUCUUCCCCAAAUCGUAGGGCAUCAUCCAUGCUUCAGCGUAGCAGUGCACAUCAGAAAGCAGCGCAGGCACAGUUUGAAGCCCUUCUUCGGCUCACUGCCCACUUCUUCUCUGCGCAUUGCCAGUGGUUCUGGUUCUGGGAGGUGGGCCGCAGGCCAGAGGAACCUCGCCGGACAGGGCUUCCGGACCGUGGCCUGGCCAGGUGGGAGAACUAGUUCCCCUCGGAAACCUCCACCUGGAAGCUGUGAUCAGGAGAACAGGUCCUCGCCGCAGAGCCUCCCCUGCUCUCCCGAUGUAACGUGCCGAGGCCUCGGGCAAACAUCCGUCAGCUGCUGCCCAUCUGCGCCCGUGGCUUCUGCAGCAGGCCCGCAAAGCCAGCCGGAAGCUCGGGCUCCCACGUCCUCGCAGUCAGCUCCUGGAGCUGGAGCGCAGCGCAGCGAGGUCAGCACAGCAGCCUCUUGUUUCUCUGGCUCCCUAGGCACUGUGCGAAUGUGCUGGGCAACUGUGCAUCCUGCUCCUGCAGCUCCUCCUGGCAGGCAGCAGUCUGCUCCUCCACACCCUUCCGGAUGGCUCCCGGGACCCCCAGG
rnacentral:lncRNA from 1 species